UGUAUUCAAAUGUUACAUAUCAAAAUCUAAGUUAGUCUUUUAUGAACACAAUAAAACUUAUUUGAGUGUAAUCGCUUUUGUAGUUUUUGCUACAAUAAAAUAAAUAAAUCAAUGUCAUUGCUGUUGAAAUGACUUAAUUCAUUACUAAUAAUACUGAUAAUAUACCAUCCAGCAUCUAUUUUUGGCAAAAUUGUUGCACAAACCAUAUUCCAAUGUUUGUGAUGUGACCAUUGCAUAUGGCUGUCAAAAACGUCAAGAUUAGUUAGAUUAUUGUUUUCUAAAACAUUGCGUGGCUUGUGAUUUUAGAACUAUUUUUGUGCUUUAACCCAAUUGAGUGGCAGCACUCUCCACUUGACAAGUAAAAUCCUGUGGCGUUAGAUAGUAAAAUACUAAAGUAGGGUGCAUCGGGGCACAAUGCAACUUAAGUAAAGGGUUAACCAAAACAAAGUUCAUAAAAAAAAUUUCACACAGUACCAUGCUUGUUUGUAUUUUGAAGUUCCUUGAGUACAGCAUCUGAUGCACAAGACUUUCCUCUUGAUGAGUAAAAUGAUCUGAUAUCAGACAUUUGAGUUCCUUUGCAGCUUAAGGAGUUAAUCCUAUUUAUCUUAAGCCUGGUUCUAGCCUGCGUAGCAGGCGCUAUUUAGGGGGGAGGGCGAGGGUGGGAAAAGCUAGGGGGGGAAUGCGAAGGCGAGAGCGAGGAAAAAUGGAAUUGUUAAGCAGUCGCAGACAUGUGCCGAAUUUUUAUAUCAACACAAAUGCAGAUUCGUGCACACUGUCUGAGACCGGAUCGGCGACGGAUCGGGAAAGUUGAACUUGGUUCAACUUUCCCCAAUCCGUCGCAGCUCGUUCAUAUAAAAAUUCGGCACACGUCUGCGACUGCUUAACGAUUUUAUGUGAACCAGGCUUUAGAGAACCGCAAUUCAACUAUCUGGCUGGCUUGAGAAAUAAACUAUACACCAACAAUGUGUGCAAGGCAAUUAAGUGUAUCCUUGGAAAAUUAUUCUGAGAUUAUGCAGUGAUGUUUACAACUUUUUUUGUUCAAGCCUAGUGACUUAUUUCAGUGCAUGAAAAUCAUCCCACCUUUCAUCCUGUCCGGACAAACUGGGAUCAUGUAAACAGCACAUUUAGCCAUAAAGUUGAUCCCCUAAUUUACCUACUUAUAUUAUUUAACUCUGUCUAACGUCAGACAAUUUUAUUAAGCCCCGGCGCACUGGCAGUUAAUGGGUAUAAACUAGACACAUGGGCAUUCUGAUUAUGAAGUGUAAAAUUGUCUGACGUUGGACAGUAAAAUACUCAAGUAGAACAUGCAUCAGGUUUAAUUUUUAUAUCUGAAUUAAUUAUUGAUUUUUUGCUUUGUUUUACAGAUCAUUACUGAACAUGCUGAUGAAUUGUGACUAUACUAAAUGGAUACAAAGAGACUGUGAUGGAUAAAUAUGGCCCCGUAAUGGAUAUUCAGUUGAUGGAUAUAGAAAGGUCACAGAAAUGUCUACUUUCAGGUACUGUUCUUUCUUGUUUGCCUGCGAACAGGCUGUAGAUACUUGUACCCAGGCCAUUGUUUGUUUUGUUGUUCUGGCUACAAUGAAAUCCGGCAUAAAUCCUGGCGGUCUAAAUGUUCAGUAUAUUUACACAUUCAAUCUAUUUUCUCUUCAGUAGACUUUGAUAGCCUGAACGAAAGUUUUAUAACGAUGAUUUUCUUUGCAAAAACUGUACUUUCGAAAUUCAUCAGCUUUGAAAAAUGAUCUGAAAAGAGAGAACAUUUGAGUGUAUGGUUAUUGCAUGGUUCUAAUGAUUCGUUUAUGUUACCAUUGUUUCCCUCUGUGUAAAUAUACUGCCUUGGUGCAAACGCAUUACAAAUGCAGCAACGCAACAGUUUAGACAGGGUCAUGAGGCAGGAUGUGUACAAGAAAAGCUUUGCCAGAGUUUUGUCUUUCGAAAUAGAACGACGAUUGGAAAUUGCUGUUUGAUUCUUUGUAAUAUCUUGUCGCUUGUUAGUGAAAAAGAAAUUUGUCACUUUCCUCAUCUAAGGCCCUGUUUACAUGAGACCGGAACGAAGUCAAACCGGGACCAUUUCGUUUCGGUCACAGUAUUAUUUAUAAUAGAUAUUUACAUGAGUCCGGGACGAAAAUAACUCCGACCGGUCUCAAGUCAUUCCGGCUGCUGAACCGAACCGACGGACUUCAGACCAGCAUGAAUUCAGACGGGGAUGAAUGUAAACAGAAAUAUAUUUCAGACCGGUCUCAGCUGUAAACUUGACAUUGGAACAACACAUGCUAACAAAGGCCAUCUGAAAAAGAAAAUUGCCCUGGCAAGGGGAAUAAGUUGAAAAUUUUGUGAUUUUCGUACCGGUCUCAUGUAAAGAUAUUGACAAUUUCAAUUUUCGUCCCGGUCUCAUGUAAACGGGGCCUAAACCUUUUUUUCAAAAAACUGGCAUCGUUUGUCUUGGGGUUAGGGGGUACAAAUGAUACCCAUAGCUUAGAGGGUGCAAAUGGUACCCGUAAGAAGACUUGGUGGAAAUCAUGUUGGUCGUUUGGAUCGGCGAGAAUAAGACAAUUAUGGUGGCAAAGUUUUUUUAAACAUUUUCUCUCCCGUAGUAAGGUAAAGCAUGUAUUUUCCUGGUAGCCGGUCUUACUUCAUGAAAAAACAGUCCGCUACCAGUGACUAGGUCCCCUCUCUUAUGGCGGCUCAAUAUCUUCAGGGAUAUUCCUUUUCAGGGCGGUUGCAUGCGGAUAAUAUGGUCCGUCGUGUGCGCAAAAUAGUUAGGAAGAUAGACAGUUUAGAGGCGUCGAGACUGCGCAAUAUAUACUCGCACGAAACGUUGCCAUUUUGCAAUUUGAAUCUGGGUUGUGCGUUUCUGGCAAAUGCCUUCAGAUUCAAGUUGUUACGACAUUUAACAACACAUUAAGUGUAAAUACGGCAUUUCUAAUGAAAAGACCGCCAGGGCUAGAGUGUUUUUAUGUUGGUUUGUUAAGGAGCAAACUCGCUUUUGAAAAAAAUAAAUAUGUAUUAAUUUCGAUCCAGAUUUGUUCCUGAACAGGGUCGCCAUGAAAACACUCUGUAUGUUAAUAAGUUGCUAUCCUGGGGUUGCGUACAAUCGGUACCCACACGAUGUGUGCCAAUUUUAAAUGAAUAAAUAAUAUGUAUAAAUACGGCGUGCACACUGAUUAUUUUUUUCGCACGAUGUUCUGGUUUUAACUUCGGGGAAAAUAAUAAAAAAGCAGUGUCCGUGGUCGGGGCUGAAUAGUACUGUGGAAGAUUGGGUUGGAAAAUUUGCAAUUAAGUCUGUAUUUUUGGGCAAUUGUUACUUUUCGAAAAAUAGUAUUCCUACUGAUGUAAAAUAACAUCUAAAGGGUUUGGCAACAAUGAUGUCGAAGAGGAUGUUCGCCCUAAACUUUAUUUCAUGAAAUGAUUUAUCUUUGUAUAUACUCACUUACAAGACAUUUAAAAAAAUUUCGAGUAAAA
rnacentral:lncRNA from 1 species